rnacentral:lncRNA from 1 species
GUCACAGGUCUUAUUUUAGUGUAGGCAAAAGCAAAUCCAGCAACACCACUGCCUCUCCCACUGGCCAGAAGUUUGGGGCAAGGGAGAGUGACCCUUUAGAGCACAGACCUCUGAGAUGGUUUGAAUAUGAAGUGUGUCCUAAAGUGUUAUAUGCUGAGGGGCCUCAUCCCAAAUGCAGCAAUAUUCAGAGGCAGAGCUUAGAGAGGUAGUUGGAUCAUGAGGAAACUAACUUCUUCAAUGGGUUAAUGCACCCAUAACUUCAUGGCCCUAAGGGAUGUUAGGUGGAGAGCCUAGGGGAAGGAAGUAGGUCUCUGCAGUGAGCCUUUAAUGGUCAGAGCCUGUCCCCAGCUCUUUCUUCUCUCUGGGCCUUCCUUGUCCUCCCUGCUUCCUGGCUGCCAUGAGCUCCUCCUUUCUCCCUCUGCUUCCUGGCUGCCAUGAGGUGAGCAGCUUUCCUCUACCAUAUUUCUGCCUUGGAGACCAUGAAGCAUGAACUGAAUACUCUGACUGUAAGCCAAAUUAAACUUCUCCUCCUUUAAAUUGGGGCUGCCAGGUAUUGUGGCCCCAUAACAGGAAAGCUGACUAAAACAGACAGGGUCUUAUUACAUAGGUCAGGCUAGCCUUAAACUCACUGGCCCAUGCUGGCCUCGAAUUCAUGAUCCUCCUGUCUCAGCAUCACAAGUGCUAG